GGCUUCCAUCAGCUCAGUGAGUUGUAGCAUGGUGCUUGGAGAAGACAGAAUGGUUGUAGCUUCCAUUAGCUCAGUGAGUUGUAGCAUGGUGCUUUUAGAAGUCAGAAGGGUAGUGGCUUCCAUCAGCUCAGUGAGUUGUAGCAUGGUGCUUUUAGAAGUCAGAAGGGUAGUGGCUUCCAUCAGCUCAGUGAGUUGUAGCAUGGUGCUUUUAGAAGUCAGAAGGGUAGUGGCUUCCAUCAGAUCAGUGAGUUGCAACAUCGUGCUUGGAAGGGACAGAAGGGUAGUGGCUUCCAUCAGCUCAGUGAGUUGUAGCUUGGUGCUUGGAGAAGACAGAAGGGUAGNGGCUUCCAUCAGCUCAGUGAGUUGUAGCAUGGUGCUUGGAGAAGACAGAAUGGUUGUAGCUUCCAUUAGCUCAGUGAGUUGUAGCAUGGUGCUUUUAGAAGUCAGAAGGGUAGUGGCUUCCAUCAGCUCAGUGAGUUGUAGCAUGGUGCUUUUAGAAGUCAGAAGGGUAGUGGCUUCCAUCAGCUCAGUGAGUUGUAGCAUGGUGCUUUUAGAAGUCAGAAGGGUAGUGGCUUCCAUCAGAUCAGUGAGUUGCAACAUCGUGCUUGGAAGGGACAGAAGGGUAGUGGCUUCCAUCAGCUCAGUGAGUUGUAGCUUGGUGCUUGGAGAAGACAGAAGGGUAGUGGCUUCCAUUAGCUCAGUGAGUUGCAGCAUGGUGCUUGGAGAAGACAGAAGGUAGUGGCUUCCAUCAGCUCAGUGAGUUGUAGCAUGGUGUUUGGAGAAGACAGAAGGUAGUGGCUUCCAUUAGCUCAGUGAGUUGCAGCAUGGUGCUUGGAGAAGAUCAUGAAGUCACAACAGUGUUGUACUUACAUAAUAAUACAGUACCACUCAAAUGUAGCUUGUUUAGGUUAGGAGAGAUAAUAGUCUCAACCAUGUUGGAACCAUUGACUCUCUGCUCAAGGGACAUUAUUUACGCUAUACCUCCUGUGCCAUAAAGGUCCCGACCUCCUAGGAGACCCCUUAGUAAACUUCCAUAGAAGCAGGCUACAGUAGAGACAGCCAUAGAUUUCUAUCUACCCCUUCCCCUUUACAGACUCUUAAGUGUAACUACUGCUCAACCAUUGAAGUGAAUCUAUCUCUCUCAGCUGUCUCAGUGGUCAGACCAUAGCCUGACCAAGACGGUAGGUAAUGAGUGUGUGUAAAUCUGGGUAAUCCGUCAGAAAGGACCAUUGACGCCUGUCUUGUUCUAUUGAGUUGACGUCGAUGUCGUUUAAGAGUGCUCUGUCGAUACACUUAAAUGAGAACAGAUUUUUCUCAAACGACUCAAAGAAAUAGAAAAAUGAUGUUUCUCUCUCUCUCUCUCUCUCUCUCUCUCUCUCUCUCUCUCUCUCUCUCUCUCUCUCUUUCUCUCUCUCUCUCUUUCUCUCUCUCUCUCUCUCUUUCUCUCCUGCUCGUUCCUGCUCGUUCCUCUGUUAUGACUGAGACAGACUCACUAAGGGGAUGAUCUGUGUUGGUGGGUGUUAGCAGUUUGGAAUAAUGACAGUUAGCACUGUAGACCAACAUCAUAUACAGUGACCUCUUAUUGUAUAUUAACCUGUUACUGUAUGUUAACCUGUUACUGUAUGUUAACCUGUUACUGUAUGUCAGUCAGCAAACGUAUGUCAAUCUGUAUGGAGAGUAGGCCAAAAGAGAGGGCAGGAGAAGGAAAGAGUGAGAGAGGAGAAGUUGGGGAGGGGAUAGAGGAGUAGAGGAAAAGGGGAUCUGUGAUGAAAGGGUAGUCCUUGGUUGGUGCAAGUCCCAUACCUGUGCUUGAGACCUGUUUUGGACUAUUUCUUCACUUUACUUCUCUCUUUCACAAUUGGCGAUGACAGGUAUCUGUAGCUAGACAGUGGAUCAUAGAAGAGUGAGGAACACAGCUGGAGAAGUCCAAUCAGUGGGGGCUGCUGAGGAGUGACAGCUCAUUAUAAUGUCUGGAACGGAGCAAAUGGAAUGGGAUCAAAUAAAAUACAAUUUAUUUAUAUAGCCCUUCGUACAUCAGCUGAUAUCUCAAAGUGCUGUACAGAAACCCAGCCUAAAACCCCAAACAGCAAGCAAUGCAGGUGUUGAAGCAUGGUGGCUAGGAAGAACUCCCUAGAAAGGCCAAAACCUAGGAAGAAACCUAGAGAGGAAACAGGCUAUGAGGGUUGGCCAGUCCUCUUCUGUUUGUGCCCGGUGGAGAUAAUAACAGAACAUGGCCAAGAUGUUCAAAUGUUCAUAGAUGACCAGCAAGGUCAAAUAAUAAUAAUCACAGUGGUUGUCGAGGGUGCAACAGGUCAGCACCUCAGGAGUAAAUGUCAAUUGGCUUUUCAUAGCCGAUCAUUGAGAGUAUCACUACCACUCCUGCUGUCUCUAGAGAGUUGAAAACAGCAGUUCUGGGACAGGUAGCACGUCCGGUGAACAGGUCAGGGUUCCAUAGCUGCAGGCAGAACAGUUGAAACUGGAGCAGCAGCACGGCUAGGUGGACUGGGGACAGCAAGGAGUCAUCAGGCCAGGUAGUCCUGAGGCAUGGUCCUAGGGCUCAGGUCCUCCUAUCAAACACACAUGGAAACCAUGAUGUAUUCGAUACCAUUUCACCAAUUCCGUGCCUGCGUUUAUGAACGUGUGAGUGUGUGUGUGCACAUUAAUGUGUAUGUGUGUGUGUGUGACAUGUGUGACAUGUGUAUGUGUGUGUAUAUGUGACAGAGUGCUUCAGGUCCUCUCUCCCCUUUUUCCCCAAUCUCGUCUGCUCUCCUGUUUUGUCCGUUCCUCCCAGAAGAGGAUUUCUGCUUUUCACACAGUAAAUGUCUCUCUUCCAAUAGA
rnacentral:lncRNA from 13 species